rnacentral:rRNA from 1 species
UAGGGAAUCUUGCGCAAUGGGCGAAAGCCUGACGCAGCAACGCCGCGUGGGGGAUGAAGGCCCUCGGGUUGUAAACCCCUUUCAGCAGGAACGAAUCUGACGGUACCUGCAGAAGAAGGCCCGGCUAACUACGUGCCAGCAGCCGCGGUAACACGUAGGGGCCAAGCGUUGUCCGGAUUCAUUGGGCGUAAAGAGCUCGUAGGCGGUUCAGUUAGUCGGAUGUGAAAUCUCCGGGCUCAACUCGGAGGGGCCACCCGAUACUGCUGUGACUCGAGUCCGGUAGGGGAGUGGGGAAUUCCUGGUGUAGCGGUGAAAUGCGCAGAUAUCAGGAGGAACACCGGUGGCGAAGGCGCCACUCUGGGCCGGUACUGACGCUGAGGAGCGAAAGCGUGGGGAGCAAACAGG